rnacentral:rRNA from 1 species
AGUCGAGCGGGGGAAGGUAGCUUGCUACUGGACCUAGCGGCGGACGGGUGAGUAAUGCUUAGGAAUCUGCCUAUUAGUGGGGGACAACAUCUCGAAAGGGAUGCUAAUACCGCAUACGUCCUACGGGAGAAAGCAGGGGAUCUUCGGACCUUGCGCUAAUAGAUGAGCCUAAGUCGGAUUAGCUAGUUGGUGGGGUAAAGGCCUACCAAGGCGACGAUCUGUAGCGGGUCUGAGAGGAUGAUCCGCCACACUGGGACUGAGACACGGCCCAGACUCCUACGGGAGGCAGCAGUGGGGAAUAUUGGACAAUGGGGGGAACCCUGAUCCAGCCAUGCCGCGUGUGUGAAGAAGGCCUUAUGGUUGUAAAGCACUUUAAGCGAGGAGGAGGCUACUUUAGUUAAUACCUAGAGAUAGUGGACGUUACUCGCAGAAUAAGCACCGGCUAACUCUGUGCCAGCAGCCGCGGUAAUACAGAGGGUGCGAGCGUUAAUCGGAUUUACUGGGCGUAAAGCGUGCGUAGGCGGCUUAUUAAGUCGGAUGUGAAAUCCCCGAGCUUAACUUGGGAAUUGCAUUCGAUACUGGUGAGCUAGAGUAUGGGAGAGGAUGGUAGAAUUCCAGGUGUAGCGGUGAAAUGCGUAGAGAUCUGGAGGAAUACCGAUGGCGAAGGCAGCCAUCUGGCCUAAUACUGACGCUGAGGUACGAAAGCAUGGGGAGCAAACAGGAUUAGAUACCCUGGUAGUCCAUGCCGUAAACGAUGUCUACUAGCCGUUGGGGCCUUUGAGGCUUUAGUGGCGCAGCUAACGCGAUAAGUAGACCGCCUGGGGAGUACGGUCGCAAGACUAAAACUCAAAUGAAUUGACGGGGGCCCGCACAAGCGGUGGAGC